rnacentral:rRNA from 1 species
CCUACGGGAGGCAGCAGUGAGGAAUAUUGGUCAAUGCGCGCGAGCCUGAACCAGCCAAGUAGCGUGAAGGAUGACUGCCCUACGGGUUGUAAACUUCUUUUAUAAAGGAAUAAAGUGAGGCACGUGUGCCUUUUUGUAUGUACUUUAUGAAUAAGGAUCGGCUAACUCCGCGCCAGCAGCCGCGCGACUACGGAGGAGCCGAGCGUUAUCCGGAUUUAUUGGGUUUAAAGGGAGCGUAGAUGGGUUGUUAAGUCAGUUGGGAAAGUUUGCGGCUCAACCGUAAAAUUGCAAUUGAUACUGGAAGCCUGGAGUACAGUUGAGGUGGGCAGAAUUCGUGGUGUAGCGGUGAAAUGCGUAGAUAUCAGGAAGAAGUCCGAUUGCGAAGGCAGCCUAC